rnacentral:rRNA from 1 species
UACCAGACUCCUACGGGAGGCAGCAGUGGGGAAUAUUGCACAAUGGGGGGAACCCUGAUGCAGCGACGCCGCGUGGGCGAGGAAGUAUUUCGGUAUGUAAAGCCCUAUCGGCAGGGAAGAAGAAAUGACGGUACCCGAAUAAGAAGCACCGGCUAAAUACGUGCCAGCAGCCGCGGUAAUACGUAGGGGGCGAGCGUUAUCCGGAUUCACUGGGUGUAAAGGGAGCGUAGACGGCCAAGCAAGCCAGGGGGGAAAGCCCGGGGCCCAACCCCGGGACUGCCCUUGGAACUGCAUGGCUGGAGUACGGGAGGGGCAGGCGGAAUUCCUGGUGUAGCGGUGAAAUGCGUAGAUAUCAGGAGGAACACCGGCGGCGAAGGCGGCCUGCUGGACCGUGACUGACGUUGAGGCUCGAGAGCGUGGGGAGCAAACAGGAUUAGAUACCCCGGUAA